rnacentral:misc_RNA from 1 species
AACGCACAUUGCGCCCCCUGGUAUUCCGGGGGGCAUGCCUGUCCGAGCGUCAUUGCUACCCUCAAGCGCGGCUUGUGUGUUGGGCCGCCGUCCCCCCCGCUCCGGGGGGGACGGGCCCGAAAGGCAGCGGCGGCACCGCGUCCGGUCCUCGAGCGUAUGGGGCUCUGUCACCCGCUCCGUGGGACCGGCCGGCGCCAGCCUGGCAACCUCUUCUUUCCAGGUUGACCUCGGAUCAGGUAGGGAUACCCGCUGAACUUAA